GAUGAAGAACGCAGCGAAAUGCGAUAAGUAAUGCGAAUUGCAGAAUUCCAGUGAGUCCUCGAAUCUUUGAACGCACAUUGCGCCCUUUGGUAUUCCGAAGGGCAUGCCUGUUCGAGCGUCAUUAUCACCCCUCAAGCCCUCGGCUUGGUGUUGGACGGUUUGGUGGAGGCCCCCUCGGGGGCUCCUGCCCCUCCCAAAGACAAUGACGGCGGCCUCGUUGGACCCCCGGUACACUGAGUUCUUCACGGGACACGUAUCGGACACAUGGGUUUACGGGACACGGUCUGCCUCCCCUCAGGGAGAAUCUUUCUAAGGUUGACCUCGGAUCAGGUAGGGAUACCCGCUGAACUUAAGCAUAUCAAUAAGCGGAGGA
rnacentral:misc_RNA from 1 species